rnacentral:rRNA from 1 species
UAGGGAAUAUUAGAAAUGGACGAAAGUCUGAUCUAGCAACACCGCGUGUGCGAAGAAGGCCUUCGGGUUGUAAAGCACUUUUUGGAAGGAUUAGGAAGGAAUGUACUUCCAGAAUAAGUCUCGGCUAACUACGUGCCAGCAGCCGCGGUAACACGUAGGAGGCAAACGUUAUCCGGAUUUACUGGGCGUAAAGCGCGUGUAGGUGGUUCUGUAAGUAGGGCGUGAAAGCUCCUGGCUCAACUGGGAGAGGCCGUUCUAAACUACAGAACUAGAGGAUGGUAGAGGGAGGUGGAAUUCCAGGUGUAGCGGUGGAAUGCGCAGAUAUCCGGAGGAGCACCAGUGGCGAAAGCGGCCUCCUGGACCACUCCUGACACUCAGACGCGAAAGCUAGGGUAGCAAACG